rnacentral:other from 1 species
CAUUGCCUGGGAUGUUGGUUGCGUUUAUGAAUUUUACCACUGAUUAUUGAACGGGAGAACGCGUUCCCGUGUGGAUGGCAAGCUGUCUAGAACAGACGUCAGAAGCAUAGGAUAGUCCACCCACCUGGAGAAGGUGUGGUGUGAGAUUUGUACGCAACGGCAUCCUGGACACCAU